GCACAUCACUGAUGGACUAUUCGAAUGGA
rnacentral:piRNA from 1 species